rnacentral:rRNA from 1 species
ACUCCUACGGGAGGCAGCAGUGGGAAUAUUGCACAAUGGGGGAAAGCCCAUCGAUGCAGCCAUGCCGCGUGUGUGAAGAAGGCCAAUUCGGGCUUGGUUAAAGACACUUUUCAGUAGGGAGGAAGGUAGUGUAGUUAACACCUGCACUAUUUUGACGUUUACCUACAGAAGAAGCACCGGCUAACUCCGUGCCAGCAGCCGCGGUAAUACGGAGGGUGCGAGCGUUAAUCGGAAUUACUGGGCGUAAAGCGCAUGCAGGCGGCCUGUUAAGUCAGAUGUGAAAGCCC